GAAGGCCUGCUCGUUUCGAGCAAAAGAACUUCACGGGCGGUGACAUCGUGCGCGCUUCCUGUCCUCGACCCAAAAGCCUGAGACGGAUCUGGGCACAAUCCUAAACUUCCAAGCUGCAAAAGCCAACGUUCAGCGUUCCCUCUGCAAUGCUUCUGGAACCCUCCCCUGGAAUCUGCCGCAGAUGUUCCACACACAGCUAAGACGCUAAGACUUCAACAAGGCCAAUGGCCCAGGGCACAGCAGAUUCUCGGUGAGGGGACAGGAAGAUGAGCCUGUAUCAGCUCCCUUGCAGCCAGGAUGCUUGUUUGGAAGGCGAUUCAUCACGUUUUAACACUUGGCAGCAUUUGCGUUUCUGUUCCCUCGGAAGGUUCAGAUUUACGAAGAAGAUGAUGGGUUGGUUUGAGAGCAACAACGUUUGACCUAAAAGCUCAGCGACGUUGGGAUUCAGGA